rnacentral:misc_RNA from 1 species
CCUCCUUUCUAAGGAAAUCGAAAACGAUUUUUUUCGAUUUAAAAAAUAGGUUAAUGUGACCGUCCUCAUUUCUCUUCUUUAAUUAAUGUCUCUGGGUAACAGUGUAAGGGGCCGGUAGCUCAGGUGGUUAGAGCGCACCCCUGAUAAGGGUGAGGUCGGAAGUUCGAGUCUUCCUCGGCCCACCAAUAUUAUGGGGGAUUAGCUCAGCUGGGAGAGCGCCUGAUUUGCAUUCAGGAGGUCAGCGGUUCGAUCCCGCUAUCCUCCACCAAAAAUUGAGACAUUUAGCUUUUUUAAAUCGUAAAUAUUAUUAAUAUCAAUAUCUAUAUCCGAUUGUUUUCAUAUUUUUUUGAAAGCAAUCAAAACAAAAAUUUGAAUUUUUCACAGAAAGUUUUUUUCUGUGCAUAAAUCAAGCGUUUAAGGGCGAUUGGCGGAUGCCUUGGCACUGUAAGACGAUGAAGGACGUGGUAUACUGCGAUAAGUUCGGGGAGCUGUAUGCAGGCUUUGAUCCGAAGAUUC